rnacentral:lncRNA from 1 species
CAAUUUCUAACCUUGUUUCUGAAUCUUUUUCUUUUCUUUUAUUUUAUUUUAUUAGAUUUUAUUUUAUUUUAUUUUGUUAGGGUUAUGUGUUGCUUCUGAUGGCAAUGAUGAUAACAUCUACUGAUGAAUGCUUCUACAACAUCUACUGAUGGAUGGUAGGUGAUAUGGCAUUUACUGAUGGAUGCCAAUGAAGAUUAGAAAGAUUAGC